GGGGACAUAGCUCAGUUGGUAGAGUGCCUGCCUCGAAUGCACCAAGACCCUGGGUUCAAUCCCCAGCACCA
rnacentral:tRNA from 1 species